GACGAACGCUGGCGGCGUGCCUAAUACAUGCAAGUAGAACGCAGUUGCGAACGGGGGAGUAACGCGUAGGUAACUGCCUCAUAGCGGGGGAUAACUAUUGGAAACGAUAGCUAACACCGCAUACUGUGAGAUGGACCUGCGUUGUAUUAGAUAGUUGGUGAGGUAAAGGUUCACUAAGGCGACGACACAUAGCCGACCUGAGAGGGUGAUCGGCCACACUGGGACGUAGACACGGCCCAGACUCCUACGGGAGGCAGCAGUAGGGACUCUUCGGCGAUGGACGGAAGUCUGACCGAGCAACGCCGCGUGAGUGAGGAAGGUGUUCGGAUCGUAAAGCUCUGUUGUUAUAGAGGCGGGAACUAACCAGAAAGGGACGGCGAACUACGUGCCAGCAGCCGCGGUAAUUC
rnacentral:rRNA from 1 species